rnacentral:lncRNA from 1 species
CGACGAGCGCGGUGAUGUUCAUCGGCGAUGUCCAAAAAGGUAUGCACCGUAUGACGUGGACGAUGAUCGAAUCGGUGGGUCGAGGCUCGGGAUCGUGGCCAAAGGCAGAGUAGGCUCCGGCACCGUAGAACCCCGCGCCGAGACAACGAUCGAGGUCGCGCCAGACGUCUGACGAGAGCGGCACGACGGCCUUGACCCGCGUCAGGUAGAGGAACGGCGCCAGCAUUCCGACCAGAACUUGCAUGGCGGCGCCGGCACGGGCGUCCAAUGAAGCGCGCCAGCGCAACUCCCAGAUGGCGAGCCAGGAUCGGAACUUGGCUCGCUCGGUGACCCGGCGGUGCACCUUUAGGACAUAGGCUUCGUGCGGCGGCGGCUCGAUGGCACGUAUUACAUCGAGUCGUUGUUGUCCAACGGCGCCCUCUUUGGGGGCGUUGGCAUACUUGAGAUAUUCGAGCGUGGCGGCGCUGUGGCGGCACGCGUCGAGAAGCCACGAGGCAGCACGCCAUGGUCGAGGUACCGUCCACGCCAUCUGUGUGUCGUCGGCGGCGGGAGCGCACUGGUGCGGUCCGAAUUGCGGAUCAAACCGACCGGCAGCACCCACGCGCGGUCCCCAUGCGGCGCGGAGCACGUCGUCGCCGACGAGAAAGGCAGCCGCAGACUUGCUGGAGAGUGCCAGGGCCAUGUAAUCGUGUGCUGGCAGGAAGCCGAGCAUGUGCACGAGACAGUCGUCUCCCAGCGCCGACAGUGACCCGAUCAUGGCAAAGAUAAUGGCAGCGGGGCCGAUGACGACGGCGACAAUGGUCCGACGUGCGCGCGCGCGCGUGAAAAAAGAUAGAGAGACUCACGACAAAGGGCGCGGAACAAGAGCCUCAGCGCAACAACGAUCGAAAACACGUGCGGCCCACAACGAAAAAAAAAGAGAAAAGAAGACCAAUGGUCCGCGGCGGCCGACACGAGCCCCUUCCCAUUCGAGAUGCAAACAUUGAUGCGAUUGGCCCGUGUCGUCUAUAAAAAAAGACACUGCCGG